rnacentral:pre_miRNA from 1 species
AACUUUUCGAAUCUGUGGUGAGAUUUCGUCAGACACCCAACCAAUUGUAACUGAUCGGACUUUCAAGAUAAGUGAAGUU